CAGCCGAGCUGUCAAAGAGACUAUACCUUCAAGAUGUAAUCUGUUUGCAGACUUCUUUCAAGUCCUUCGACCGAUAUUGCCUGCGCAAAAACAAAAGAUUCUAGUCAACCACCGAUCUUAAAGGGGCAAAAAAGAAAAAAAAUCAACAAUACAUACAUUUUAAUGCAAUCGAGAGUACAUUGAUUGGUUGAUAAAAUCUACCUGUUCGGCUACCAACGCCCUGACAACGAGCUGAGAAGUCAACUGUCUCCCUAACUGUCAUCUCUGCAAUGUGCAGAUCAUAUUGACUUAUAUACGCCGAGGUUUUCUGAGGAACAAACUCGUCCAGUCUGUGUCCAUUGUAAGAGAUUUCACCUGAACACUGGAAAAACGAGAAAAAGGAGGACCAAGCAACAGUGUUAACCUGCAACAACAAGAUGAUAAAUACUUUUCAAAACUUUGAUCAAGACUAGUGAGGAGAUACAGUAAACUUCUUCAACUACUAACCUUCCCGGCUUUAGAAUGCCAUUAACAUCAUUCAGAAUGUUGAUCUUGGCUUCACGCGUUUUUGCACCUGUGAGCUUCACAAGUUCCUGCAGAAAAGAAACACUUUAGGAUUCAACCCAGAGGCUUUUAAAGCAAACGCAGAAUCAAGACAAUAACAACUUUUUUGAAUUUGCAGAAAUUGUUGAGUACUCACAGAGAAAACGCGCUUAGCAGUGUUCCACAGUGUUGGAAGUGCCUUCCCUUCAACAAUCUCGCACUCGGCCUCUACUUUCAAACUCUCGUACCUCACUUCUAUAGUCGGUAACUCCAUCCCGACUCUGCAUAACACAGUUUCAAGCUCAAAGUUCCAAACUUAAUGGAAUCGAAAUAUUCACAAAAUGGGAUGACGUUCCAUGGCUCCAAGCUUUGUGACAUCAACGACUCUCUUUCCUUUCUCGGUCAUGGACUCAUCGCCAUCAUCGAGGAGAGUAGAUCUCAUGCGUUUGACGGUUGGUAAUCUCUCGAUCUCAGCCC